GCCUUCGUGGUGUAGUGGUCAACACGCUGGGCGCGUAUUCCAGAGGUUCGUGGUUCGAGUCCCGGCGAAGGCA
rfam:Stegodyphus mimosarum contig99817, whole genome shotgun sequence.